rnacentral:lncRNA from 1 species
UAAACCGAAAUAACAUAUACCCCCCAAAAAGAAGGAAAAUUUAUGUGAAAAUUCGUGUAGAGCUACCUGUGGUAAAUUUAUCAUAUCUCUCUGAAUAUAGGUCGUAUGCUAAUAAUUUUUAAUCCAGUGUAAAGAAAACAAAAUUUACUACAAGAUUGACACCGGAAUUAUUAAAUUUCAUUAAGUAUAGUAUGAGAAAAUCUACCUACAAGUUUGAGAAAAGUUUCUGCAAAAUGUUGUAGAUAUACCUGUGGUAAAUUUAUCAUAGCUCUCUGAAUAUAAGUCGUAUGCUAAUGAUUUUUAAUCCAGUGUAAAGAAGACAAAAUUUACUACACAAUUGAAACCGGAAUUGUUAAAUUUCAUUAAGUAUAGUAUGAGAAACUCUACCUACAAGUUUGAGAAAAGUUUAUGCUCUGUUUCUGUACCAGUACACAUUAUUUGGUCAAACUGAACCAAUUGGAUAGUUAACCCUCAAAACAAAAAUUAUAUUUGUAUUCUUGACACCCUAAGCUUUCCAACGAGUGGUCGUUUACUCAAAUCGGACAUCGUUU